UGCCAGCCGCCGCGGUAAUACGAAGGGACCUAGCGUAGUUCGGAAUUACUGGGCUUAAAGAGUUCGUAGGUGGUUGAAAUAGUUGGUGGUGAAAUCCCAGAGCUUAACUCUGGAACUGCCAUCAAAACUUUUCAGCUAGAGUAUGAUAGAGGAAAGCAGAAUUUCUAGUGUAGAGGUGAAAUUCGUAGAUAUUAGAAAGAAUACCAAUUGCGAAGGCAGCUUUCUGGAUCAUUACUGACACUGAGGUGCGAAAGCGUGGGGAGCAAACAGGAUUAGAUA
rnacentral:rRNA from 1 species